CAAUUUAUAAAUUUUGUUGGCUGUUAUUAUAAAUGUCAGUUAAAGAGAAAAAUUUUUAACAGUUAAAAAAGUAGAGAUAUUCUAGUAUGGUUCAGACUGGUCGAGUAUUGUUCAGACCUUUGGUUAAGUAUGGUUUAGACUGGAAAAACUAGCGAGUACGAUCAGAAUGGAUUAAGACUGUUCCAGACUGGUCGAGUUAUAGUUCAGACUAUUUUCAACGGCAAAGAUAAGGGUCAAGUACGAUUCAGUACAGUCGAGUACGGUUCAGACUGGGGUCGAGUAUGUCAAGUUUAAGUCAGACCAAUUCAGACUGGUCGAGUAAAAAUCAGUACAGUCGAGCACAGAUAUAGGCCA
rnacentral:lncRNA from 1 species